rnacentral:rRNA from 1 species
AUUGAACGCUGGCGGCAUGCCUAACACAUGCAAGUCGAACGGUAACGCGGGGGCAACCCUGGCGACGAGUGGCGGACGGGUGAGUAAUACGUAGGAAUCUGCCCAUUUGUGGGGGAUAACCCGGCGAAAGCCGGGCUAAUACCGCAUACGCUCUACGGAGGAAAGCGGGGGAUCGUAAGACCUCGCGCUAAUGGAUGAGCCUACGUCGGAUUAGCUAGUUGGUAGGGUAACGGCCUACCAAGGCGACGAUCCGUAGCUGGUCUGAGAGGACGAUCAGCCACACUGGGACUGAGACACGGCCCAGACUCCUACGGGAGGCAGCAGUGGGGAAUAUUGGACAAUGGGGGCAACCCUGAUCCAGCAAUGCCGCGUGUGUGAAGAAGGCCUGCGGGUUGUAAAGCACUUUCAGAGGGGAAGAAAAAAUCGGAGCUAACAUCUCCGGUCUUGACGUUACCCUUAGAAGAAGCACCGGCUAACUCCGUGCCAGCAGCCGCCGUAAAAC